CCACCAGGGCUGCCCAUCGCUAACACAUUUUAAAUUGCCUUCUUUUUCAAUCAAAAAUAAAAGAUGCUAGAACUCGAAGAACCAUAUGUGGACCUAAAGGAAAGAUCUGAGCAUCUCCUGAGAAUCCUAGACAUUGAAAUUGACGUGACAACUGUAUAAAAUUUUGGGUUUUCCUUCUUCAGGAGUAUGUGAAAGGGAAAACUGAAAAGAUUAAGAGGCUUUUGGAGACCCAAAAGAAUGACUCUUCAAUAGUGGAAUUCCAGGCAUCAAGAGGCAACCAUUCUACAUUCUAACUUUCUAUACCUGCUAUUCUGAAGGCUGAAUUCCAUCUAUCAAAUUAUUUUACAAAGCCAUAUGGCUCAUUCCUGGAAAGUCAUUUGAUUUGGUUCAGAACUCAAGUCUUUUUUUUCUUUUUUAAAUGUCAAUACAGGCCAACAGGCUUUGAACAUGUGCAAACAUUAUUGCAAACAGAUUAAUCUUUUCUAGAAAAGGAUCUAGUCUUGCACAAAGGAACAACUACUUUAAACAACUAGAAGGUUAUCACCAUGCUCCUGAGAUUACUUCCCAAGUAAACUCAUGAAUCUGCUCCAAGAUGUGUUUUGGGGAGACACAAGAUAGUGCCUCACAGAUUCGUUAGGAGGAACAAAUGAGAGAAUGCGCUGAACACCAUGUGUGUCUUAGAGUAAAUGCCCAGUAAUGCCAACUACCAUCACCCUCAUCCUCAUCCUCAUCCUCAUCAUGAUCAUCAUCAUUGUCACCAAGCUCUUGCAAGAGAGCUGAGAUGACCUUUUUAGAAGUUCUGAGAGAGGUGACAUUGACUUAUCAGGAUUCCUUGUUGCUCCUCUUUCCUCACACGCUGACUCAAUAUAACACUUAAAAAGUCUAUGAGCAAGGAGCAAAGUAUUGAUGAUAUUAAUAGCUCUCAGUUAUGGAGUGCCCACUCUGCAAAUAGGUGAAGGAAUAGGUUCCAAGAGAGAAAAGGGCUUGCCCAUGACUGCACAACCUGAACAAGAUGGAACCUGGAUCAGAACCCAGAUCUGGCUGACAAGAGGCCCUUUCUGCUAGACCACAGUUUUCUCAUCAUCACUAACAUUUCUCUAGAUGAGACAAUAUAGUUGGGGAAUUUACACUUUCAAGGGGAACAAAACAUUGCUCACAGGAACUGAAAAGAAGACUAUCACUCAGCCCAAACAAGCAAUGUUUGCAAGAAAUCUAACCCUGAGACAAUAAUUUUAAGGAACAAGAAGACAUGAGUCACAGUCCAAAAUAGCAAGAAUAAAAUAUUCCUAUUUCUGCUUAUGCCAAACUGAUGCAGCAACUAGUUUCACUGUAGCAGAUGUGGGAGGGUGAAGUCCCACUGUAAGUUGAGAGGUUUGGAGAAAAAUGGACCAUCCUAGACAUAAUAAAAUGACUGUUUUCUAAUGAGUGCCUAAAAGGCAGAGAUGUGUCUGUCUAGUUGAUGAAUUCUUAUAUUCUACCAUUAGAAAAAUUAAUCAGGGAAGCCCAGGUGGCUCAGCGGUUUAGCACCACCUUCAGCCCAGGGUGUGAUCCUG